rnacentral:rRNA from 1 species
AUUGAACGCUGGCGGCAUGCCUUACACAUGCAAGUCGAACGGUAACGCGGGGCAACCUGGCGACGAGUGGCGAACGGGUGAGUAAUGCAUCGGAACGUGCCCAACAGUGGGGGAUAGCUCGGCGAAAGCCGGAUUAAUACCGCAUACGACCUACGGGUGAAAGCGGGGGAUCGCAAGACCUCGCGCUGAUGGAGCGGCCGAUGUCAGAUUAGGUUGUUGGUGAGGUAAAGGCUCACCAAGCCGACGAUCUGUAGCUGGUCUGAGAGGACGACCAGCCACACUGGGACUGAGACACGGCCCAGACUCCUACGGGAGGCAGCAGUGGGGAAUUUUGGACAAUGGGGGCAACCCUGAUCCAGCCAUGCCGCGUGCGGGAAGAAGGCCUUCGGGUUGUAAACCGCUUUUGUCGGGGAAGAAACGCUCUGGGCUAAUAUCCUGGGGUAAUGACGGUACCCGAAGAAUAAGCACCGGCCAACUACGUGCCAGCCGCCGCCGUAA